AUACGUAGGGUGCGAACAUUAUCCGGAUUUAUUGGGCGUAAAGAGAUGCGUAGGCUUUCUAGAAAGUCUGUUGUCAAAGCCCGGGGCUCAACCCCGGAUCGGCAUCAGAGACUCCUAGAAUCGAGGCAGAGAGAGGCGAAUGGAAUUCCCGGUGGAGUGGUGAAAUACGUUGAUAUCGGGAGGAACACCAGUGGCGUAGGCGAUUCGCUGGCUCUGUUCUGACGCUAAGGCUCGAAAGCGUGGGUAGCAAAACGGAUUAGAUACCCGUGUAGUCCACGCCGUAAACGAUGGAUGCUAGCCGUUCGACACAACUGUAUUUUUUCUUCGGAAUUAGUACGGAAGUGUUGUGUGGCGCAGCUAACGCGAUAAGCAUCCCGCCUGGGGAGUACGGCCGCAAGGCUAAAACUUAAACGAAUUGGCGGGCACCCGCACAAGCGGAGGAGCGCGUGGUUUAAUUCGAUGGCAAUCGAAGAACCUUACCAAGGUUUGACAUGCCGGUCAUAUUCUUUCGAAAGAUAGAAGUCAGUUCGGCUGGACCGUGCACAGGUGAUGCAUGGCCGUCGUCAGCUCGUGUCGUGAGAUGUAGGGUUAAGUCCCGAAACGAGCGCAACCCCUAUCCCGUGUUACAAGUGUCUCGGGAGACUGCAGUGGUAAAACAUUGAGGAAGGUGGGGAUGACGUCUGGUCCGUAUGUCCCUUAUAUCUUGGGCGACACACGCGCUACAAUGGCAGGUACAACAGGCAGCCAAGCCGUAAGGCGGAGCUAAUCCUCUAAAACCUGUCUCAGUCCGGAUUGAGGUCUGUAACUCGACCUCAUGAAGUUGGAUUCGCUAGUAAUCGCAGAUCAGCCAUGCUGCGGUGAAUACGUUCUCGGGUGUUGCACACACCGCCCGUCAAAGCAUGGAAGCAGGUAAUACCUAAAGGUGCUCUGAUUUAUUUCGGGGUGACUAGGGUAAUAUUUGUGACUGGGCUU
rnacentral:rRNA from 1 species